rnacentral:lncRNA from 10 species
ACUGCUGGGAAACAGGCAGUGAGUGGAAGCAGCAGCAGCUCUGGAGAGUAAGUGGGUCUUAUGUAAAGUGCCAUUUGCCACAUAUUGUUAUUUCCAAAGGAUUUCAGAAUACCCUCGAACUCGAAAAACAGAUUACAUAGAGCCAAGAUUUAAGUGCCACUUUGCUGCUCUUCCAGUAAACAAGACAGAUAACCAACUCAUGAGUUGCUCCAUUUUGCAUUUCUACCAGCAAUGUGACUACUCUCCCCUACCUUCAUCAACACAAGG